rnacentral:rRNA from 1 species
CCUACGGGAGGCAGCAGUGAGGAAUCUUCCACAAUGGGGGAAACCCUGAUGGAGCAACGCCGCGUGCAGGAUGAAGGCCUUCGGGUUGUAAACUGCUUUUAUAAGUGAAGAAUAUGACGGUAACUUAUGAAUAAGCACCGGCUAACUACGUGCCAGCAGCCGCGGUAAU